GUGAGGAAUAUUGGUCAAUGGGCGGGAGCCUGAACCAGCCAAGUCGCGUGAAGGAAGAAGGAUCUAUGGUUCGUAAACUUCUUUUGCAGGGGAAUAAAGUGCAGGACGUGUCCUGUUUUGUAUGUACCCUGAGAAUAAGGAUCGGCUAACUCCGUGCCAGCAGCCGCGGUAAUACGGAGGAUCCGAGCGUUAUCCGGAUUUAUUGGGUUUAAAGGGUGCGUAGGUGGUUUGAUAAGUCAGCGGUGAAAGUUUGCAGCUUAACUGUAAAAAUGCCGUUGAAGCUGUCGGACUUGAGUGUAAAUGAGGUAGGCGGAAUGCGUGGUGUAGCGGUGAAAUGCAUAGAUAUCACGCAGAACUCCGAUUGCGAAGGCAGCUUACUAAGCUACAACUGACACUGAAGCACGAAAGCGUGGGGAUCAAACAGGAUUAGAAACCCCAGUAGUCC
rnacentral:rRNA from 1 species